CCUACGGGUGGCAGCAGUGGGGAAUAUUGGGCAAUGGGCGCAAGCCUGACCCAGCAACGCCGCGUGAAGGAAGAAGGCUUUCGGGUUGUAAACUUCUUUUCUGAGGGACGAAGAAAGUGACGGUACCUCAGGAAUAAGCCACGGCUAAAUACGUGCCAGCAGCCGCGGUAAUACGUAGGUGGCAAGCGUUAUCCGGAUUUAUUGGGUGUAAAGGGCGUGUAGGCGGGAAAGCAAGUCGGGUGUGAAAACUCAGGGCUCAACCCUGAGCCUGCAUUUGAAACUGUUUAUCUUGAGUGCUGGAGAGGCAAUCGGAAUUCCUGGUGUAGCGGUGAAAUGCGUAGAUAUACGGAAGAACACCAGUGGCGAAGGCGGAUUGCUGGACAGUAACUGACGCUGAAGCGCGAAAGCGUGGGGAGCGAACAGGAUUAGAUACCCCAGUAGUC
rnacentral:rRNA from 1 species